rnacentral:miRNA from 12 species
GGGGGGUCCCCGCGGGUCCCGGGCCGGGAGCGGAGCGCGGCCCCGCGCGGCCGCCAGGUGGCGCCACAGCCCCAGCGCUGAGGCGGCGGCCGGGC